rnacentral:rRNA from 1 species
UACAGGGGGUGCAAACGUUGCUCGGAAUUAUUGGGCGUAAAGCGCACGUAGGCGGUUCGUUAUGUCGGAUGUGAAAGCCCUUGGCUCAACUGAGGAAGUGCAUCCGAAACUGGCGGGCUAGAGUAUGUAAGAGGGUCGCGGAAUUCCCGGUGUAGAGGUGAAAUGCGUAGAGAUCCGGAGGAACACCGAAGGCGAAGGCAGUGUCCUGGCGCGUAUCUGACGCUGAGGUGCGAAAGCCAGGGGAGCGAACGGG